rnacentral:rRNA from 1 species
AGGACGAACGCUGGCGGCGUGCUUAACACAUGCAAGUCGAACGGUAAGGCCUUUCGGGGUACACGAGUGGCGAACGGGUGAGUAACACGUGGGUGAUCUGCCCUGCACUUUGGGAUAAGCCUGGGAAACUGGGUCUAAUACCGAAUAUGACUAUUGGUUGCAUGACUGGUGGUGGAAAGCUUUUGCGGUGUGGGAUGGGCCCGCGGCCUAUCAGCUUGUUGGUGGGGUUAAGGCCUACCAAGGCGACGACGGGUAGCCGGCCUGAGAGGGUGUCCGGCCACACUGGGACUGAGAUACGGCCCAGACUCCUACGGGAGGCAGCAGUGGGGAAUAUUGCACAAUGGGCGCAAGCCUGAUGCAGCGACGCCGCGUGAGGGACGACGGCCUUCGGGUUGUAAACCUCUUUCAGUAGGGACGAAGCGCAAGUGACGGUACCUACAGAAGAAGGACCGGCCAACGUACGCGCCAGCAGCCGC